GGUUGUGUAGUGUAGCGGUUAGCACGUGGGAUUUUGAGCAGCCUUCAGUGGCAUACACCAACAUUCCUGAGACCCCGGUUCGAGCCCGGGCACGACCU
rnacentral:tRNA from 1 species